CUACCAUGCAGUCGAGCGGUAGCACAGAGAGCUUGCUCUCGGGUGACGAGCGGCGGACGGGUGAGUAAUGUCUGGGAAACUGCCUGAUGGAGGGGGAUAACUACUGGAAACGGUAGCUAAUACCGCAUAACGUCGCAAGACCAAAGUGGGGGACCUUCGGGCCUCAUGCCAUCAGAUGUGCCCAGAUGGGAUUAGCUAGUAGGUGGGGUAAUGGCUCACCUAGGCGACGAUCCCUAGCUGGUCUGAGAGGAUGACCAGCCACACUGGAACUGAGACACGGUCCAGACUCCUACGGGAGGCAGCAGUGGGGAAUAUUGCACAAUGGGCGCAAGCCUGAUGCAGCCAUGCCGCGUGUGUGAAGAAGGCCUUCGGGUUGUAAAGCACUUUCAGCGGGGAGGAAGGCGUUAAGGUUAAUAACCUUGUCGAUUGACGUUACCCGCAGAAGAAGCACCGGCUAACUCCGUGCCAGCAGCCGCGGUAAUACGGAGGGUGCAAGCGUUAAUCGGAAUUACUGGGCGUAAAGCGCACGCAGGCGGUCUGUCAAGUCGGAUGUGAAAUCCCCGGGCUCAACCUGGGAACUGCAUUCGAAACUGGCAGGCUAGAGUCUUGUAGAGGGGGGUAGAAUUCCAGGUGUAGCGGUGAAAUGCGUAGAGAUCUGGAGGAAUACCGGUGGCGAAGGCGGCCCCCUGGACAAAGACUGACGCUCAGGUGCGAAAGCGUGGGGAGCAAACAGGAUUAGAUACCCUGGUAGUCCACGCCGUAAACGAUGUCGAUUUGGAGGUUGUGCCCUUGAGGCGUGGCUUCCGGAGCUAACGCGUUAAAUCGACCGCCUGGGGAGUACGGCCGCAAGGUUAAAACUCAAAUGAAUUGACGGGGGCCCGCACAAGCGGUGGAGCAUGUGGUUUAAUUCGAUGCAACGCGAAGAACCUUACCUGGUCUUGACAUCCACAGAACUUUCCAGAGAUGGAUUGGUGCCUUCGGGAACUGUGAGACAGGUGCUGCAUGGCUGUCGUCAGCUCGUGUUGUGAAAUGUUGGGUUAAGUCCCGCAACGAGCGCAACCCUUAUCCUUUGUUGCCAGCGGUUAGGCCGGGAACUCAAAGGAGACUGCCAGUGAUAAACUGGAGGAAGGUGGGGAUGACGUCAAGUCAUCAUGGCCCUUACGACCAGGGCUACACACGUGCUACAAUGGCAUAUACAAAGAGAAGCGACCUCGCGAGAGCAAGCGGACCUCAUAAAGUAUGUCGUAGUCCGGAUUGGAGUCUGCAACUCGACUCCAUGAAGUCGGAAUCGCUAGUAAUCGUAGAUCAGAAUGCUACGGUGAAUACGUUCCCGGGCCUUGUACACACCGCCCGUCACACCAUGGGAGUGGGUUGCAAAAGAAGUAGGUAGCUUAACCUUCGGGAGGGCGCUUACCACUUUGUGAUUCAUGACUGGGG
rnacentral:rRNA from 1 species